AGAACGAACGCUGGCGGCAGGCUUAACACAUGCAAGUCGAACGCGUGUAGCAAUACACGAGUGGCGCACGGGUGAGUAACGCGUGGAUAUCUGCCUUUUGGUUCGGAAUAACCCCGGGAAACUGGGGCUAAAUACCGGAUGGUUCCUACGGGAUAAAGAUUUAUCGCCAAAAGAUGAGUCCGCGUACGAUUAGCUAGUUGGUGAGGUAAUGGCUCACCAAGGCGACGAUCGUUAGCUGGUCUGAGAGGACGAUCAGCCACACUGGGACUGAGACACGGCCCAGACUCCUACGGGAGGCAGCAGUGGGGAAUAUUGGACAAUGGGGGCAACCCUGAUCCAGCCAUGCCGCGUGAGUGAUGAAGGCCUUCGGGUUGUAAAGUACUCUUUUGGCGGGGACGAUGAUGACGGUACCGCAGAAUAAGCCCGGCAACUUCGCGCCAGCAGCCGC
rnacentral:rRNA from 1 species